GGAGAAGCAGAGAAUUAGAGAGUCCCCGGGGAUCGGGGGGAGACUCGGGCAGCGCGGCCCCGGGACCGGACCGGGGGAGAGGCCGCUGGGCCUCAGGCUCAGUCGGGUGGCCGACAGCAUCCUUUCCCGGGAUUUUACCCAAACACAGCGGAUGGACAACCAGCAUCUUCCCGAGGUUUUUCACCGACAUGGAGAUCGGAUUUUUCCUGAUCAACACACACAAAAUUCUGGAGGAUCUCAGCGGCUGAAGCAGCAUGUGUUAAGGGAGAUUUCAAGCAGAGACCUUACCUCAAGAUUGGAAAGAAAGACGGGAGAUAGCAGUGGAAACGGGUAUGAAAAAGGAGUGGAGCAACAACUGGAUCCAGAUGAGGAUGGGAAUCAAAGAUUCCAGACUGUUUCAUGUCAUGUCCAGUGCACAAGUGUAAAGAAGAACAGAAUAAUCUUCGGAUAUGACGCAGCACUGAAAAGAACACAGUAAGACAAAGAACACAAUGAAGUUGCAUUAAGGGUGUGGAGAGAUUUUCUGAAAAUGCAACGCGUUCCUUUAAUUACAUUACACAAUCGAGUAAUUCAGUUGAUUGAUAAGUUAGGCUUGUUGAAUUAGCUGGCUGGAUUUGUCUUGUUAACACUUGGCCAAUAAGA